UACGAAGGGAGCUAGCGUUGUUCGGAAUCACUGGGCGUAAAGCGCACGUAGGCGGACGUGUCAGUCAGGGGUGAAAUCCCGGAGCUCAACUUCGGAACUGCCUUUGAUACAGCACGUCUUGAGUCCGGAAGAGGUGGGUGGAAUUCCUAGUAUAGAGGUGAAAUUCGUAGAUAUUAGGAAGAACACCGGUGGCGAAGGCGGCCAUCUGGCUCGGUACUGACGCUCAGGCGCGAAAGCGUGGGGAGCAAACAGG
rnacentral:rRNA from 1 species